rnacentral:rRNA from 1 species
UACGUAGGGUGCAAGCGUUGUCCGGAAUUAUUGGGCGUAAAGAGCUCGUAGGCGGUUUGUCGCGUCUGCUGUGAAAAACCCGAGGCUCAACCUCGGGGCCUGCAGUGGGGUACGGGCAGACUAGAGUGCGGUAGGGGGAGAUUGGAAUUCCUGGUGUAGCGGUGGAAUGCGCAGAUAUCAGGAGGAACACCGAUGGCGAAGGCAGAUCUCUGGGGCCGUAACUGACGCUGAGGAGCGAAAAGCAUGGGGGAGCGAACAGG